AGGACGAACGCUGGCGGCGUGCUUAACACAUGCAAGUCGAACGGGGCGAUUUAAGCUUGCUUAGAUGAGCCUAGUGGCAAACGGGUGAGUAACGCGUAGGCAACCUGCCUCUAAGAUGGGGACAACAGCCCGAAAGGGCUGCUAAUACCGAAUGUUGUGAGUUUUCCGCAUGGAGAGCUCAUUAAAGAUGGCCUCUACUUGUAAGCUAUCACUUAGAGAUGGGCCUGCGUCUGAUUAGCUAGUUGGUGGGGUAACGGCUCACCAAGGCGACGAUCAGUAGCCGGUCUGAGAGGAUGAACGGCCACAUUGGGACUGAGACACGGCCCAGACUCCUACGGGAGGCAGCAGUGGGGAAUCUUCCGCAAUGGGCGAAAGCCUGACGGAGCAACGCCCGCGUGAGUGAAGAAGGUCUUCGGAUCGUAAAGCUCUGUCGAAGGGGACGAACGUAACCUUUAUCAACAACGAAGGUUAAUGACGGUACCUUUCAAGAAAGCCACGGCUAACUACGUGCCAGCCGCCGC
rnacentral:rRNA from 1 species